UGAUGGCGACCGGCGCACGGGUGAGUAACACGUAUCCAACCUGCCCCAUACUCGGGGGAUAGCCUUUCGAAAGAAAGAUUAAUAUCCGAUAGCAUAGUUCUUCCGCAUGGUGGAACUAUUAAAGAAUUUCGGUCAUCGAUGGGGAUGCGUUCCAUUAGGUUGUUGGCGGGGUAACGGCCCACCAAGCCUUCGAUGGAUAGGGGUUCUGAGAGGAAGGUCCCCCACAUUGGAACUGAGACACGGUCCAAACUCCUACGGGAGGCAGCAUG
rnacentral:rRNA from 1 species